GUCUCUGUGGCGCCAAUCGGUUAAGCGGCGUUCGGCUGUUAACCGAAAGGUUGGUGGUUCGAGCCCACCCAGGGACG